rnacentral:rRNA from 1 species
ACUCAAAUGAAUAGACGGGGGCCUGCACAAGCGGUGGAGUAUGUGGCUUAAUUCGAUGCAACGCGAAGAACCUUACCUGGCCUUGACAUGCACGUAGUAGAAGCGUGAAAGCGUAACGAUCCCGCAAGGGAAGCGUGCACAGGUGCUGCAUGGCUGUCGUCAGCUCGUGUCGUGAGAUGUUGGGUUAAGUCCCGCAACGAGCGCAACCCUUGUGUCCUGUUGCCACUCUAACGAGAGUUAGAAGCACUCUGGACAGACUGCCUCGCUUAAACGAGGAGGAAGGUGGGGAUGACGUCAAGUCAGGAUGGCCCUUACGGCCAGGGCUGCACACGUACUACAAUGCCUGGUACAAAAGGAAGCAAGACCGACAGGUGGAGCAAAUCCCCAAAACCAGGCUCAGUUCAGAUUGUCGGCUGCAACUCGCCGACAUGAAGCUGGAAUCGCUAGUAAUGGCGCAUCAGCUACGGCGCCGUGAAUACGUUCCCAGGCCUUGCACACACCGCCCGU